UCCUUUUUUCUUUCGGCGUCAUAGGGGAUUUUCCAAGUGUAAAGGUAGCGCAUACACUUAUGGGGGGAGGCAUGUGGGGGCCUGGUAAGGGGUUGGGGAGGUG
rnacentral:rRNA from 1 species